UACGGAGGGUGCGAGCGUUGUCCGGAAUCACUGGGCGUAAAGGGCGCGUAGGUGGCCUGUGGAAGUCUGCGGUGAAAGCCCGGCGCUCAACGCCGGGUCGGCCGUGGAUACUCUCGGGCUCGAGCUUACUAGAGGCAGAUGGAAUUCCGGGUGUAGCGGUGGAAUGCGUAGAGAUCCGGAAGAACACCGGUGGCGAAGGCGGUCUGCUGGGCAGUAGCUGACGCUGAGGCGCGACAGCGUGGGGAGCAAAUAGG
rnacentral:rRNA from 1 species